rnacentral:rRNA from 1 species
AUUGAACGCUGGCGGCAGGCCUAACACAUGCAAGUCGAGCGGAUGAAUGGAGCUUGCUCCUGGAUUCAGCGGCGGACGGGCGAGUAAUGCCUAGGAAUCUGCCUGGUAGUGGGGGAUAACGUCCGGAAACGGGCGCUAAUACCGCAUACGUCCUGAGGGAGAAAGUGGGGGAUCUUCGGACCUCACGCUAUCUGCUGAGCCUAGGUCGGAUUAGCUAGUUGGUGGGGUAAAGGCCUACCAAGGCGACGAUCCGUAACUGGUCUGAGAGGAUGAUCAGUCACACUGGAACUGAGACACGGUCCAGACUCCUACGGGAGGCAGCAGUGGGGAAUAUUGGACAAUGGGCGAAAGCCUGAUCCAGCCAUGCCGCGUGUGUGAAGAAGGUCUUCGGAUUGUAAAGCACUUUUAGUUGGGAGGAAGGGCAGUAAGUGAAUACCUUGCUGUUUUGACGUUACCAACAGAAUAAGCACCGGCUAACUUCGUG